rnacentral:tRNA from 2 species
AGUAAGAUCAGCUAAACAAGCUAUUGGGCCCAUACCCCAAAAAUGUAGGCUAAUCCCUUCUCUUAUAA